GGGAUGGGGAGGAGAGAGGAGCCUCAGGAAUUCGUUCCCCCAUUGCACUAAGCCUCCCACGUACCCCUCCUUCCGCCAGCUUCUGGCACCUAGCCACAAGACGCCAUGCUGCGCCAGAGGCUAAGAAGCCCGUGAGUCCCGGGCCCGCCCUCUCCCACCUGGGCAGGAUGAGGGGAAAGGGAAAAGCUGCUUUGGAGAGAGGCAGAUGCAGGCGUGAGUCUGUGUGACUCUGGGCUCAGCUCUUUUGCCCACUUCGUUCUCUUCCCUCCUGUAGAAGCAGGAACAAUCCAGUCCGCCCUAGUUCAUAGAACUCCUCCAGCCUAGCACUCAGCAGACGCUCUAUUCGUGCACAUUGCCACAAUGAAUACGUCAUUGAACAAAGCGGUUAACCUGAGGUCUUUUCUCCUUUAAUUUUUUCCAACAAUAGGAACAGUUUUUAUUUCCAUACUUGCUCCGAACACCCUGAGAGACAGCAAAAUUGGGUGUUUGUCAGUUGGUGCCCUCUACCCCACGCAGCCCCCCUGCAAGCUUCUUUCAGGUUUUAGGGAAAGUGGAGCCUUGUCCUUCUGCGAGGAUCGGGCGCCCUCUUGCGGCCAUCUCGGGAUUCCCGAAGUUCAGGUCCCCGCAGCAGGAGAGUGGGAUUCUCCGGGGCUGAGGACAGGGAGGCCAAGGGACCCCUCCGCCUGCCUGCGGAAGUGGCCUGGCAGUCCCCUACUCUCCAGGAGCCUGUCCCUUCUUUCUUCAUCAGGCUGGACACCGAGGCUGAGUCCCCGGGGAAGCUGACCACGGCCAGGCACCGCCUAAAGGGAGUGUGUGAGGGAUGGGGGCCGCCCCUCCCGCAGGCACAGGACUCAGCCAUCACAAAUGCCAGUGGUCCUUGGAACACGUCUGCCCGGCUGAGCCUGCCAGAUGCCCAGUUUAGGGAAGCGCGUGAGGAACAGAAAUGGAGGAGACCCGACCAGACAAGAGGCAGUCUACCCAGCUGCAGGUCGUGUCAUUUCCUCUCCAAAAACAGACAGGGAGCGCCAGCCGCCUGUGCAUCGCCCCACUGUGGCAUUGGGACAAUUGCUCCUGCUGUCCCCUUCCCUCCAGGAAUGAUCUAGCUGGGCUCUAGGAAGCCUCCAGGACUGCCACAUUCAUAGUUCCAGGGGCAGGGGCCACCAUGAGCACAAUGCACCCAGGCGUGUGAGGGGGUCCCCCGACAACCCUUGCCCCCGCUGCCCACUCAGAGACCACCCUCGCUGAGCUGCUCCUCCGUGGCCUGGCCCUUCUAAACCUCUGGCUCCUUCUUCUGGGCAUUUGGGGUAUGGGAUCCCUUUCCUAAUUAACCAGAAACGCCCCAACCAGGCUUGGGCACACAGGUGGUCCUCAGGAAUCGGAGCUGGCUUAGAGAAGGUGGAAUGAGUUGGGAGCUCCUGUGAUCACAGCAACAAACGACUUUUCCACCAGCCAAGAACUGGGCACCUCCCACGCGGCCCCUUCACAUGGCCUCGAAGUGGGUGUGGCAAAUAUGACCCGCCUUAUAGAGGAGACCUACACCGAGCCCCCAGGGAGCCAUCAGCAGAGAGAGGCAGCGCAGAGGCUGGAGCCGACUUCCCCUCACCACAGAUCUGGGUCAACUCUAAGGAGCACUUUGUCCAGCAAAAGGGAAACCUGGCUUGUUCCCUCGAGCCUGGAAUGGACAUGGAAAGGGUGUCUUUUUGGCAGAAGCAAGGAUCUCCAGAUGGUUUCGAAACAGAAUUUACCCAGCACCAGACCCUCCUGGGCCAGUCACAUGGCCUUUGAGUGACCAGGAUCUUCAGGAGCCACUUUCAGGAAAUGCAGCAAAGGUGAUUUUCCUGUGAAACUUCAAUCCCAGGCAGGCCCUCCUCAGCCCACAGGGCCAUGGAUCUCUCAACUGAGCUGAGCUAAGCUUCCUCCACUGAUCCCCCCAGUCUGCUGUGUGCAGGGAGCAACAUAGAAACAUCCCCCAAGACAGCUCUUCAAACAACGCAUUACUGCUUAUGGAUUAUUAUUAUUAUUAUCAUUAUUAUUAAUUAUUUUUUGAUGGAGUUUCACUCUUGUUGCCCAGGCUAGAGUGCAAUGGUGCCAUCCUGGCUUACUGCAACCUCUGCCUCCCUGGUUCAAGCGAUUCUCCUUCUUCAGCCUCCCUAGUAGCUGGGAUUACAGGCAUGUGCUACCAUGCCUGGCUAAUUUUAUAGUUUUAGUAGAGUCAGGGUUUCACCAUGUUGCUCAGGCCAGUUUCGAAGUCCUGACCUCAGGUCAUCCAUCUGCCUCGCCCUCCCAAAGUGCUGGGAUUACAGGCAUGAGCCACGGCGCCUGGCCACUGCUUAUGCAUUUUUAAACUUUCUUUUAAUUUUUUUACUGGAUAUUAUUUUCCAGGCCUGAAGUGUUUCCUGUUGAAGAACUCGCUUUACUCUCAUGGAGCCUCUAGGAGGCACUAUUGUGACCUAUUUAUAGGAAGAUAAACAGAGGCUGGGGUGGUGAAGUGAAAAGUUGCCGGGCUAAAGAACUGGGCUGGCAGCCCAGACAUCAGCCCUCAGCCCUCCCAGCCGGGAAGGGUCCAGAGUACAUGCGGGAUCAGAGAUCUUCAUAGCAGAAAGCGCUCUUUGAUGCCAGCCACACUGACUCCACAGGGAGCAGAGUGUGUUCAAAGGCCAGGAUUUUAUUCCCCCAUCCCCACCCUCCCCGAUUCUCACCACUAUCCAAUUAAAAACAAAAACAAUCGCAUAAAUGGUACUACGUGCCAGGGACUUUGUAGACAUACAUGCCUUUCACAGAUCCCACCUAUGUAGGUGGGUAUUUUUGAUUCCUCUAUUUUCCGGUGAGAUUCAGAGAAGUUAAGCAACUGGCCUGUGAUCACCCAGACAGCAGGAGUGGAGCCUCAGUCUGGGAUCUGACCAGUGCCUGUUGCUCUGAGCCUGCAGAGCCAGUCCCAGGCUCCAUCCACCCCGCCCUCCAGCAGCCUGGCCUGAUUCAAAUGCCAGGACUGCAGGUUCCUAAAUCAGCGUCCAUCAGCCCAAGGUCAGGGUUAUUACAGUUUACACAACUACAGUCACCAAGGAGUAACUAGGACAGGACAGGCUGGUUCUAGCAGCUGCUGAGAGAGGGAGAGAGGGAGAGGGAGAGAGAGAGAGAGAGAGAGAGAGAGAGAGAGAGAGAGAGAGAGAGAGAGAGAGAGAAAACUCAGCAAGAAUUCCUCUAGAUAGCACUAUUUGAAAUCUUCCCAUGAUGAAAUUAAAAGUGAGUCUUAAAUGAUUUAUUUUUUCAAUCUGUGAAUCUAAACAAAUGAUCCCCCUUCUAGGUACAUGUAUCAUAUGAUCUCCUUCACAGCUGUGAAAAAAUGCUAUUAGUGCUUUCAAAGCAGUUUUAUCACAGAUUAAAGAAGCCUAGAAAAAAAAUUGGCAGCCAGAGACAGCCAUAUGCCUACUUGACCUAGGACGGUAAACCUGUUGUUCAUUCCAGAGAGGGGAUUAUGGCAUUACUUUUAGUAAGUUGCUUUUCAUAUGGAAAUUUCCUUUCAUAGUAAAGAUCUGUCUUUAAUAGCAUCAUCCUAAAAACAUGCCUAUUUUUUAAUUCCACGAUCAUGGACAUAUAGAUUUUUAUAGUGUCUGCAAGCAUACAUUAAUGUUAAUUUCACCAUUCUCCUUUGUAUUUUGUUAAUGUCACAGUCUGCUGUAAAACCUUGCCAAGUUUCUUAACUGUCAUGUUAAUUCCAAGACCUAUUCUGCACUCUUUGACAUUUCAGGACAGAACAAGGCAGUAAAAAUAGAUUAGAAACAGCUUAUAAGUAUUAUAAAAUCUAGAACUUUACAGAUGGUGGAAUUAGGUCUGCUGAAUGGAAAUUUAGCAACUCCUGAAUGCAAUAAUAUUAGAAAAUCGUAUUCAUUUCUAAGGUAAAUAUUUGGAAGGCGUCGUAUAAUGGCGGCUGGAGAAGUUGGGGAAACUUAUAAAAUGCAACAGAGUUAUAUAAUUUUAAGAAACAUACUGUAUGCAUAUACCAUAUCCUGCAGAGUUUCGGGUUUCAAAGGUUUUCUCCACUGUAUAAAUAAAGGGCAAAUAGUAA